rnacentral:rRNA from 1 species
GUCAGCUCCUGUCGUGAGAUGUUGGGUUAAGUCCCGCAACGAGCGCAACCCUCAUCCUUAGUUACCAGCGGGUAAUGCCGGGCACUUUAAGGAAACUGCCAGUGAUAAACUGGAGGAAGGUGGGGAUGAUGUCAAGUCAGCACGGCCCUUAUGGGGUGGGCUACACACGUGCUACAAUGGCGACUACAAUAGGUUGCAACGUCGCAAGGCUGAGCUAAUCCGUAAAAGUCGUCUCAGUUCGGAUUGUCCUCUGUAACUCGAGGGCAUGAAGUCGGAAUCGCUAGUAAUCGUGGAUCAGCAUGCCACGGUGAAUACGUUCUCGGGUCUUGUACACACCGCCCGUCACGCCAUGGGAAUUGGCUUAACUCGAAGCUGGU